rnacentral:rRNA from 1 species
GGCAGACGGGUGAGUAACGGGUAGGAAUCUACCCCUUGGUAGGGAAUAACUCAUCGAAAGAUGGGCUAAUACCGUAUAAGUUCGUAAGAAGAAAGGGCGUAACUGCCCGCCGAGGGAUGUGCCUGCCUGCUAUCAGCUUGUUGGUGAGGUAAUGGCUCACCAAGGCUAUGACGGCUAGGGGGCGUGAGAGCGUGAUCCCCCACAAUGAAACUGCGACACGGUUCAUACAUC